AUACUCUUGUUUCUAUUCACAUCAUAAAAAUCUUUUGCUUUUUAUUAAAGAUUUCUGUGGAGAGAAAUGAUUCUGAGUCUUCAGAUUUUUUUAAAUUUAAUUUAUUUAUUAAUU